rnacentral:tRNA from 1 species
GAUCUCAUAGUUUAAUGGUAAAACAACUGUUUCCAAGUCAGUAAUAGAUGGUUCAAUUCCAUCUGAGAUCA